GACGAACGCUGGCGGCGUGCUUAACACAUGCAAGUCGAGCGGUAAGGCCCUUUCGGGGGUACACGAGCGGCGAACGGGUGAGUAACACGUGGGUGACCUGCCCUUAGCUCUGGGAGUAAGACCUCGGGAAACGUACGGGUCUAAUACCGGAUAUGACUCCAUGACGCAUGUUGUGGGGUGGAAAGCCUUGUGCGGCUAGGGAUGGCCGUCGCGGCCUAUCAGCUUGUUGGUGGGGUGAUGGCCUACCAAGGCGACGACGGUAGCCGGCCUGAGAGGGCGACCGGCCACACUGGGACUGAGACACGGCCCAGACUCCUACGGAGGCAGCAGUGGGGAAUCUUGCGCAAUGGGCGAAAGCCUGACGCAGCGACGCCGCGUGGGGAGU
rnacentral:rRNA from 1 species